AUUGAACGCUAGCGGGAUGCUUAACACAUGCAAGUCGAACGAGUGGCGGACGGGUGAGUAAUAUAUCGGAACGUGCCCAGUAGCGGGGGAUAACUACUCGAAAGAGUGGCUAAUACCGCAUACAAUUGGAUGUGCCGAUAUGGGAUUAGCUAGUUGGUGGGGUAAAGGCUCACCAAGGCAACGAUCCGUAGCUGGUUUGAGAGGACGACCAGCCACACUGGGACUGAGACACGGCCCAGACUCCUACGGGAGGCAGCAGUGGGGAAUUUUGGACAAUGGGCGAAACCCUGAUCCAGCCAUCCCGCGUGUAUGAGAAGGCCUUCGGGUUGUAAAGUACUUUUAGCGGGGAAGCGGUAUCUGCAGAAUAAGCACCGGCUAACUACGUGCCAGCAGCCGCGGUAAUUC
rnacentral:rRNA from 1 species